ACCCGUCGCCCUUGAGCUCCUGUCCUGUCCCCUCUUGCUGACUGCGUGAUCUCUCUGCCCUGCAAAUUCGUUCAUUCUACAGUUGACUUCAAAGCCUCCCCCCCCAGGUGCUCAAAUGACACUGGUGAAAUUAAGUUGACCGGUGAGGACACUGGAGCUCAGAAAGGUCAAGAAGAUGGAUUGAGUACCAUUUACCUGGAAGGCUGCCUUUGAUGAGCCGCUCAGAAGUGUCCAUUGGUCUGGCAGCAGCUUUAAUGAGGUAUACUUUCUAUACAUGAAUGGCACACAUUUAAAGUGGAUGCUUUGAGGAAUAUGCAGUAAGCCUGGGAAGCUCAGUGACUGCCGCUCUGCAGCCCAAGGUGAAGGGCCAAGUCCCCAGCAGAGAGCAUGGGAGUGAAUGGGCCAAGGUUGAAGAUGAGAGCCCGAAAAUGAGAGCUCAGGGCACUUAUGGACCAAGGUAUCAGCCCAAUGGCUCUAAUUGGCAGAGAACGCCCUUCAGAUGGAGCAUCCACCAGUUCAGUAGCCAAAUCUGGAAUUUUUCCACAGAUAAACAGGAUGCAGCAGGCCCUAAUUCUCAGAUAUCAUCCAUUUACUCAACAAUCAAGUGCCUUCCAAGUACCCAGUUCUGUACCCAGUUCUGUGACCAGCAUAAGUCUUUGACUGGCUUUGGUUGGUUCUCAGGUUGUCAGCAACUUUCAGAACGAAGUCAAAACUUCUAAGACUUAUGUUCAAGGCCUUUCUUGAUUAAGUUCCUAAAUUAAGGUUUUCCACCACAUCUUCUACACAGCCUGUGCUCCAGAGCUAACCAAUGUCCCAGUGUCCCAGACUCACCAACUCCUUUCUGCCCCUCUCCCUUAAUGUUCUCUCACACUUCACUCUCUUGGCCAGUGGAGACCUUCGCAGCCAGCCUAGGCAUCAAGCCUGCCAGGUAGCCUUCUUCGUCACUGCAGGAAGAAUUAAUUGGGGCCGGCACUGUCUGAACUCGUAUCCCACAUGCUACCUAUGAGGGCUGUGGUGGGCUGUGAACUCCUGAAGGGCAGGGCGCUAUUGCACAUACCUGGCUUAGCACAUGGAAGGUCGUAGUCGCUUAGUCACCGUCAGCUGAAUUGAGCUGAUUUCUGCACUGCACCCUCUCUUUCUGCAUUUGGGGACUGGGAAGACUCACCCCCACUGCC